UAUAAUCAAUUGUUUGUACUGCUAAAAUAAAAAUAAGGCGAAGUAGAAGCAGUGUUUGUUCGUUCACGUUUCGCGAUUUAAACAACAAGUGUUUUUGGAUCGACUGCGUGCAAUGCAGUCGUUAGAGUCAGUGAUCGUUCGUAAAGUUUUAUGCUUUUUUAACAGUCGUACAGACUGUAUUUAUAAAAGACAAUAGUGUUUCGGAAAUAAACUUCAGUGGCCGUCCGUUAAAAAAUAACUAUUGCGUAUUAGAGUCAGUGUAUCAUUUAAGAGGAUCUCAAUCUAUAGCGAUGUCGGUCUACCUCAUUUUCAACCAUCUAUGAAUCAUCCACCCUCAAUUUCGACCUAAAUCGCGGUAGAGUGUUUUGGAACUAUCGCAGAACUUCUUAAAUACAAAAUACCGUUCACUGGGUUCCCACAAGUUAACGGGAGAAUGCAAUUUCUUUCAUGGAUCCUGGAGAGCUCGUGAAGAAGAUGCGUGAUAAAAGCACAUACGAUAAUUGGUGACCUCAACAGAUUUUUAAAUAAGAUAACAUUAUUUCUCUAUACUUCAUUUACUGUUGUGAAAAAUGUCGAGGAAUUCAAAAAGCACGUCCUAGUCCGCGAGUGCUAGCACGACCGAACCUACUUCUAUCUGUGGAAUAUGUAAUAUUCUUGAAAAAGCAUACUUGAACUAUAUACUUGUAAAGAUGUAAGUUGAAAAGAUGUAAAUAUGUGGUUCCAGCAAUUCAAAGGACAAUUUAUUUUAUAUCGAGCGACUCGUGAUUUGCGACGAAAUUUUGGUACGUGGUGACGCAAUUAGAUUAAAAAUAUGCAAAGGUAGGUGAGCGAUUUUAUAAUGGAUUAUCUGACUGAGGGGAAUCGUCGAAAAAUUAAAGAUUGACCUGACACGUCGUUUCUCUACCUCGGAAGACCGAAAUAUUCGUCGACUACUGGAACAUGAGGAAAUGGAAAAUCAAUGUUCAUCACAAUUCCUAUGACAUCUUCAGUAGAUGACGACAAUGUCCUGGGAAGAAUUCUACGAGCUUUGUGAAUUUCAAGGUUAUCGAGGUUUAUGCAAGCAAUUCGUGAUACGCAAUCGGAUGUCAAUCUAUCGAAAGUAUCUGAGAACUGGUUAUGAAACUUCUAUCCGGCAGGUUUCUCAGCUUUGAAUAAACCGAAGGUAUUAUUAUAACCUUUUAUUAUGAAUAUUAUUAAACCUUAUUUAAAAGAGCUCUUUUUCCUCGUAUCAGUGAGAUCAAGGAUUUACAUAAAAAGAUGAAACGAUCGAAGCAACGAUUACAGUUCAGAUGUGUAUUAAUAACAUUGUUUGGUAACAGUCCGGAAAUUGGACGAAAAAGUAUCGGGAACCGUGUAAUCACCGCUUGGGAAAUGCCACUAUUCGUCAUUGACCGCGACGAUAAAUGACUCCCUGUUUUUUCAUUUCCGAUAGAGCUUCGACAGUAUAAAACUGGUAUCGACUUAUGUAUUUAUCCGUCCGUGUAUAUAAAAAGCAGCGGUCCAGUGCAUCCAAAAUGUACAUAUUAACUAUAUAUCUAUGCGGCACAUAGCUUAUACAUAUCAACUUUUCAUACGAUUCCAUUACGAUUGGAUUUCAAAUGAUGAGAAGAUUUUAUGUGAAAUUUUAUAAUCACUGAUAUAACCAACUUUAUAAUCAGUGCUGAUUCCCUGGCGCAAUAUAGUUUAUUAGUUAAUAUGAGAAAAUAAUCCGCACAAAAUUUCAAGAGAAUUUUCAACGAAAAGAAAUACUAUCCGCAAUGCAGUCCGCAGAUACGCGAUAUCACCGAAUACUU